GCACCCAACGGUCUUACGUCCGGGCACGUAAUCAACCAAAUUCCAAACUUGGUUAUCAUACAUGGAUUGGAUCUCGCUAUCCAUUGCCUCUUUCCACUUUACAGACUCCGGGCCUGCCAUGGCUUCCUUAUAGCUAUUAGGUUCAUCAAGGUUUACUAGUGUACCAUCACUAAUAUACGUGUCCCCUUCGGUAGUAAUAUGAAAACCAUAAAACUGGGGUUGAACUCUAACUCUAUCGGAACGUCUAAGAGGUAAGGAUUCGUCAAUCGGUUCAACCGGAGUUUCCUCCUCGGGUUGAGUGCCAGCGGUAGAGGUUCCUUCAUCUAUCGACUCUUGAAUCUCUUCAAGUUCGAUUUGCCUCCCACUGUCUCCUUGGCUUAUGAGUUCUCGCUCUCGGAAAACUCCUCUCCUCGCAACGAAGACAACAUUGUCCUUCGGUCUAUAGAAGAGAUAUCCAAAGGAUGUCUGCGGGUAGCCGAUGAAAAUACAUCGCUCACUUCGAGGUUCAAGCUUGUCGUGAGUAUCUCGUCUUACGAAAGCCUCGCAACCCCAAACCUUGAUAUGUGCCAACGAGGGAGCUUUCCCUGUCCACAUCUCGUGAGGUGUUUUGGCAACCUUCUUAGUAGGGACUCGGUUAAGGAUAUGGGCGGCAGUCUCUAAGGCAUACCCCCAAAAAGAGAUAGGUAGUGAAGCACGACUCAUCAUAGAGCGAACCAUAUCCAAUAAGGUUCGAUUACGCCUUUCUGCCACACCAUUCAACUGCGGUGUCCUAGGAGGCGUCAAUUGCGAAACUAUUCCACACUCCUUGAGAUAAUCGUGGAAUUCAAGACUUAGGUACUCUCCUCCUCGAUCGGAUCGAAGCAUCUUGAUUUUCCUGCCCAAUUGAUUCUCCACUUCAUUCUUGAACUCUUUGAACUUUUCAAAGGUGUCUGACUUUUGCUUGAUUAAGUAGAUAUACCCAUAUCUACUAUAGUCAUCGGUAAAAGUCACAUAGAAGCGGUUCCCAUCCUUCGUGGUUGAUCUAAACGGUCCACAUACAUCGGUAUGUAUUAGGUCCAAUAGACCCUCGCCCCUUUCACAUGUACUCGUGAAGGGUGACUUAGUCAUCUUUCCAAGCAAACAAGACUCGCAUGUGUCAUCUUCCCUAAGGUCGAAUGACUCCAACACUCCAUCCUUUUGGAGUUGGGCUAUGCGUUUCUUGUUGACAUGUCCAAGACGACAAUGCCACAAGGAUGCUUUAUCCAUACUAGUGGAAGAAUCAAUAUUCAAAACAUCAUUUCCUAAGUUAUCAACAAUCAUAACGGUUUCAUAUAUUCCAUUACAUGGUAUAGCUUCAAAGUAAAAGACACCAUUUAGAUAAGCCAAAAUAGAACCAUUCUCAUUAUUAAAAGAAAAUCUAAAUCCUUGUCUAUAUAAACCAUGAAAUGAAAUGAUGUUUCUAGCCAUUUCUGGCGAAUAGCAACAAUUGUUCAAAUCUAAAACCAAACUAUUCCUAAGCACUAAAGAAUACACUCCAAUCUUGGUCACAGGCGACGAUCUUCUGUUCCCCAUGAUUAGAUUGAUCCUUCCUUGCUCCACAUCCCUACUUCUUCUUAGUCCCUGCACAUUAGAACAAAUGUGAUAACCACAACCGGUAUCAAGAACCCAAGAAAUAGCAUGAUUAGAAUCGUUAGAUUUGAUUGUAUAUAUACCUGCGAAAGAUGGCUUGAUCUUUCCUUCUUUGAUUGCUUGCAGGUAAUCCGGGCAGCUUCUCUUCCAAUGUCCUAUCUUGUGGCAGUGGUGGCACUCUGCCUCCUUCGGGUUAGAGCAGGGCUUGGCGGGAUCAACUUUGGUCCCACUAGAAGAGGCACCAUCUCGGGCUUUCACCUUGCGAUAGUUCUUCGAUGAAGCUUUCCUCUUCUUUCCCUUCCCUUGUCCAAUAGCCAAGACAGGAGCAGCGGGCGGAUUGGGAGUAGGUGCAACAGACUUGUCCUUGAAGUUGCUCUCAGCAACCCUCAAGAGACCUUGGAGCUUGCUUAGGGUGACCUCUUCUUUGUUCAUGUGGUAGGUCAUCCUAAAUUGGUUGUACAUCGGAGGCAAAGAGUGAAGCACCAUGUCGAUCGCCAAGUCUUCACCGAAGUCAACAUUUAACUUGCGGAGGCGGUCAACAUACCUUUGCAUCUUUUGCAAGUGCACGGUAAGAGAUUCUCCAUGACCCAUCUUCGCGGAAAUCAUGUUAGUGAAAAUCUCGUACCUCUCUUGUCUCGCGUUUUGGUGGUACCUCUCCAAUAAGUCUUGAUGCAUCUCGUACGGGUACAUGUCCUCGUAGGACUUUUGGAAUUCGGAGUUCAUGGUGGCGAUCAUGAUGCAAUGUACCUUCGUUGCAUCUCGCUCAUGAGUUUCAAAGGCGGUGAUUUCGGCGGGAGUAGCAAUUUCGGGGUUGAUUUUCUCGAGCUUCUCAUCGAGGACAUACUCCUUAUCCUCAUAGCGAGCAAUGGUGCGAAUGUAUCUUAUCCAUUCGCUAAAGUUCGUUCCAUCGAAGGUGACCUUUUGGCAAAGGCUCAUCAACGUGAAAGAACUAGCAGCAGCGUUGUUUGCGUUCGACAUCUACAAUUAGAAAAGGACAAAGAUAGAUUAGAAUAAGAAUCCCUAAUUAUCACCCAAUAAGAAAAUUAGGGCUAGGAUCCAACAAUAACAUUUACAUACUAGAAAAGGGAUGCCGUAAUCUAACAUGCAAAUAAAUUGAAGGUAAGUGAAUGACGAUUCACUAAUUCUCCAUCACAAAACUUAAACUAUUAGUCCUAAGUGUUUUUGAGAAUUCCUAGGUUCGGAUGAGAUUCAUUGAAACUAUUCAAUGGCAUGUUUAAAUCUCGAUAUGCCCCUCUUGUUUGUGACUGGGAUGCCGAGGAUCACAAAGCGGGUGUGAAUUACCAUGCAAAUUCACAUGGUGCCUUCAUUGUAACAAUCACCUAUUCGAUGUGCCGGUAAACCACACACGCUCCAUCGAACUAUGAUAAACAAUGAAUCACCCUUUGCCACCUUCGCUUAGAACCAAUUAGUGUGCCGGUAAACCACACACGCUCCACUAACAUCUUAGCAAGGUGCAAAGUGUAAUUUCAUGGGAUUGCAUCAAUUCACUUUUCCUAAAGUAACUAGGAUUGGGAAAUUUUAAAAAAAUGUGUAGUUACUUUAUAUUUCUUAUUAUACUUUUAAUGAGAGGAUGAGGUUGCCCUAUCCUACCCGUUCGGCUAACGACCCUCCACCAAUCAAGCAAGCGGUGGGUGUGAGUGUACACCCAUUAAGCGCCAUUUUAUAGGCCGCAACCUUAUACCCACCUUAUAGAUCGGCUUCGUGAAUGAGGCCUACUAACGGUAAGACUAGCAUUUAGUUAUACAUAUAUAUAUUAUUCUAGUAAUAUCAUAUUAGUAUAGGGUUGUAUUUUAAAACUUUUAAAAUCUAGGGUUUGAAAUUUAAGUUGUCUAAAUUAAAACUUUUAAUCACAAAAGUAAAUUUCAAAACAUGAGGGUAGGUUUUAAACAUUUAAAACAUGGAGGAUCAAAUAACAAAUAAUUCCAAUUAACAAUUAAUAUCCUAAUUAUCUAUAUUUGAUUUAUUCAAGAUUUCUUUUAAAGAUAAUUACCAAAAUAAUCAAAAUAAUUAAUUAAUUAUCAUAUAAGGAAAUUAAAUAUUUAAUUAGUUGAUAAUUACCUUUAACUAGAUCAAGAUAAUAGUUAUAUUUAUCAGAAAAACGAAUUAAUGUUGAUCUAAUUAGUUUAUGGUAAGUUAAGAUAAGAUAAACACAAAGAAAUCCCGAAUCUGGCCAUUCCUGACGCCUGGACUCGCCGAGUGCACAAAUGGACUCGCCGAGUCAGGCCUACUCGCCGAGUCCACUUUGAGACUCGCCGAGUCCAUGACUCAGAAACCAAAAAUUCGAAUUUUGCAGGUUUGUUUCAGUUAAUCAAGCAACAAUUUACAGAAAACCAAGCUAGGCUCUGAUACCACUGAUGGGUUUUAGCCAUAAGAACUUUCCUAUGUGCGCAUGCAAAACCCUAAUGCUUGGAUCUAGGCUUUCUAAUAAACAUGCUUUGAAUCCAAGACUUCUAAUUACUAAUUAGGUUAAACAAGAACAUUAAAACAGAUCUAGAAUCAUACCUUUGAGUUCCUUGUUGAUCUUGAGGUCUUGGAGCUUCUAGAGUCACAAAUGUCACUCCUCUAAUGGCUUACAAACACCAAAGCAAGGAGGAUGAUUUGGGAGAGAGGAGAGGGGAGGAAUUUCGACCAGAGGUUCCUUACUUUAGGUCAAGUGUCGAAUUCCAUCAGCCAUGGGGUCUAUUUAUACUUGUAGACUCCUUAAGGAUUACAGAUAAGUCCCUAUCAGAUAAUCUUCUCUUAAGGCUAUCCAAAUCCAUUCCUAGAUAACUCUAAUGGACGAUUUUAGCUAUCCUAAUCCUCUUAGAAUUCGUCCAUAGUAUAUCCAAAUGGAUUUACAGUUUAAAGCUUAACUAUCAAACAAUUGACAGUUUAUACCCCUUUAUUUAAUUAAUCUCUUUAAGUCACCAAAUUAAUUCUAAUUAAUUCUAUGACUUAUAUUAAUCAAAUAACAAAUAUAUUAUUCAUUAUAUUAUUCCCAUAAUAUAUUAAUAAUAUUUACUCUCUCUUAAUAAAUCAUCCUAUCAAGUUGCUAUGGUGAAGGCAACCCAAAAGGACCAUGCACAACCGGAUAUAGUUACAGCCUUAGACACUAUUCCAACAGUCUCCCACUUGGAUAAGUCUAGUAACUAUACAAGUACAAUUCGGUUUGCAAUCGUAGCUCUCAAAGACGCUGUCAACUCUGAUCUAAUCAAUCUUGUCCUUUAGAUAAGGGAACGUACAGUCCUCUGUUAGAUAUCAUGCUGACAAUCCUAUGGAAUGGUUAGUCAAGCAUUUAGGUUUCUCGAUCUCUGAUUUAUUUGACAUAGAACUUAAUCGAACACAUCAAUUCAGUUCUGACCGGGCCCGGCACAUAAGUCAAAUCAAAUCAUCGAGCGGCCGAGAUAUCGCUUUUACCUUCUUAGAUAAAAGUUACAGAUAAACUUCGACUUAUAUGCAUUUACUUAUUCAUUAACCAACUAUACACAACAAUACGUUUUAUAACACCAAGUUACUGAUGCGUUUUCGUAUUAUCAAUGUACAAUCAAUUAACAAAUAAUAAACCAUAUAUCUAGGUUUUAAGACUAUAUGAUAUUAUCGUCUUGCGAUCACCUUUUAUAUCGUAUUCCAUAAGGUGAUUCCAGCAAGCGCGGGUUUAUUCCAAUGCUCAAAACUAGUUCAUAAGCACUCAUGAACGUUGCAGCAAUCCUUUGCUAUGUCUAACACCAUUUAGACAUUCUACACACCAAUUCAUGACAAUCUUCUUUCAUAUCUACUCCCAACAUAUGAACGAUUGUGGACCAUUUGAAUAAUUCGAUUAUUCCUAAUAAACUCAAUUAUUCUGGAAGUCAAAACAUGCAAAGUGAAACAAUAGCUAAACAAUUAACAUAAGAUAGUAACAUUACUCAUAAAUAAAACUCCUUUAUUUAAUCAUCAAAUGUCAAUUACAUUUAUCUAUUACACGUUUCUAAUACUAUCUAAUCUAUGCUAAUAUCAUCCUUCAGCCCAAUACUCCUAGCAUGCUGCAAGUGCUUAACCCUACUCAGUCCCUUCGUAAGCGGAUCUGCUGGGUUAUCUUCUGAUGAUAUCCUCUUCACUACGAGUUGUCCUUCUUCUACACGAUGUCUAAUGAAGUGAUACUUUCUGUCGAUAUGUCUUGAUCUACCAUGAUCCCUCGGUUCCUUGGUUAAGGCAACCGCACCUUCGUUAUCACAGAAAAUCUCCAUUGGCUCCUUUAUGGCAGGUACGACUCCAAGAUCACCGAUGAAGUUCUUUAGCCAUAUUGCCUCCUUCGACGCUUCGCUCGCUGCAAUGUACUCUGAUUCGCACGUUGAAUCAGCUACGGUUUCCUGCUUGGAACUCUUCCAUGUCACUGCUCCUCCAUUUAGGGUAAAGACCCAGCCCGACUGCGAACGGUAGUUGUCCCUGUCGGUCUGAAAACUGGCGUCACUAUACCCUCGCACCUUCAAGUCAUCACUCCCUCCGAGGACUAAGAACCAUUCCUUCGUCCUCCGAAGGUACUUAAGGAUAUUCUUCACCGCAAUCCAAUGUGCUUUGCCAGGAUUCCCUUGAUAUCUGCUAACCAUGCUCAAAGCGAAGGCUACAUCAGGGCGAGUACAAGUCAUAGCGUACAUGAUUGAGCCAACUGCGGAAGCGUAUGGUACUCGGCUCAUUUCUGCUAUCUCAGCUUCGGUACUCGGACUUUGAGUCUUACUCAAUUUGGCAUUACUUUGUAUCGGUAGUUCUCCCUUCUUUGAGUUUUCCAUACUAAAACGUUUUAGUACCUUCUCUAAGUAAGUAUUCUGACUAAGUCCAAUUAGUCUCUUACUUCUUUCUCUUACUAUCCUUAUUCCCAAAAUGUAAGAAGCCUCUCCGAGGUCCUUCAUAGCGAAGCACUUCCCGAGCCAGGACUUAACCUCCUGCAGAGUCGGGAUGUCGUUUCCUAUGAGUAAUAUGUCAUCGACAUAUAGAACGAGGAAGCUUACUAUACUCCCACUGGCUUUGACAUAUACACAAGAUUCGUCUUCGCUUCGUACAAAUCCAAACUCUUUGACUUUCUCAUCGAAGCAAAGAUUCCAUCUGCGAGACGCUUGCUUAAGUCCAUAAAUGGACUUCUCAAGCUUACACACUCUAUUCGGAUGCUUCGGAUCCACAAACCCCUCUGGCUGAGCCAUGUAAACAUCCUCAGCCAACUUUCCGUUAAGGAAAGCGGUCUUGACAUCCAUUUGCCAAAUCUCAUAAUCAUGAAAUGCGGCAAUUGCUAGCAUCACUCUAAUAGAUUUAAUCUUCGCAACUGGUGAGAAGGUCUCAUCAUAGUCAACUCCGGGAGUUUGAGUAAAGCCCUUCGCAACCAAUCGCGCUUUAUAUGUGUGCACGUUUCCAUCCACGUCGGUCUUCUUCUUGAAGAUCCAUUUGCACCCAACGGUCUUACGUCCGGGCACAUAAUCAACCAAAUUCCAAACUUGGUUAUCAUACAUGGAUUGGAUCUCGCUAUCCAUUGCCUCUUUCCAUUUUGCAGACUCCGGGCCUGCCAUGGCUUCCUUAUAGCUAUUAGGUUCAUCAAGAUUUAUUAGUGUACCAUCACUAAUAUACGUGUCCCCUUCGGUAGUAAUAUGAAAACCAUAAAACUGGGGUUGAACUCUAACUCUAUCGGAACGUCUAAGAGGUAAGGAUUCGUCAAUCGGUUCAACCGGAGUUUCCUCCUCGGGUUGAGUGCCAGCGGUAGAGGUUCCUUCAUCUAUCGACUCUUGAAUCUCUUCAAGCUCGAUUUGCCUCCCACUGUCUCCUUGGCUUAUGAGUUCUCGCUCUCGGAAAACUCCUCUCCUCGCAACGAAGACAACAUUGUCCUUCGGUCUAUAGAAGAGAUAUCCAAAGGAUGUCUGCGGGUAGCCGAUGAAAAUACAUCGCUCACUUCGAGGUUCAAGCUUGUCGUGAGUAUCUCGUCUUACGAAAGCCUCGCAACCCCAAACCUUGAUAUGUGCCAACGAGGGAGCUUUCCCUGUCCACAUCUCGUGAGGUGUUUUGGCAACCUUCUUAGUAGGGACUCGGUUAAGGAUAUGGGCGGCAGUCUCUAAGGCAUACCCCCAAAAAGAG
rnacentral:lncRNA from 1 species